rnacentral:rRNA from 1 species
UACGAAGGGGGCUAGCGUUGCUCGGAAUCACUGGGCGUAAAGGGUGCGUAGGCGGGUCUUUAAGUCCGGGGUGAAAUCCUGGAGCUCAACUCCAGAACUGCCUUUGAUACUGAGGAUCUUGAGUUCGGGAGAGGUGAGUGGAACUGCGAGUGUAGAGGUGAAAUUCGUAGAUAUUCGCAAGAACACCAGUGGCGAAGGCGGCUCACUGGCCCGAUACUGACGCCGAGGCACGAAAGCGUGGGGAGCAAACAGG